UCAUGCUAGAAAGAGCGUAUGGUGGAUGCCUUGGCACUAAGAGCCGAUGAAAGACGUGAUAAGCUGCGAAAAGCUUCGGGGAGGAGCAAAUAUCCUUUGAUCCGGAGAUAUCUGAAUGGGGAAACCCACUUGAGCAAACCUCAAGUAUCCUUAAGCCAAUACAUAACUUAAGGAAGGGAACCCGGUGAACUGAAACAUCUAAGUAGCCGGAGGAAGAGAAAACAACAUGUGAUUCUGUGAGUAGCGGCGAGCGAAAACGGAAGAGCCCAAACCGGGAUGCGUGCAUCCCGGGGUUCGGACCGCAUAAUUGAUUCAACGAAUUUAGCAGAACGGUUUUGGGAAAGCCGGCCAGAGAGGGUGAAAGCCCCGUAAGCGAAAGAUGAGUUGACAUGGCGGUAUCCAGAGUAGGUCGAGACACGUGGAACCUUGACUGAAUACGCGGGGACCACCCCGUAAGGCUAAAUACUCCUUAGUGACCGAUAGCGCAUAGUACUGUGAAGGAACGGUGAAAAGGACCCCGGGAGGGGAGUGAAACAGAACCUGAAACCAUAUGUUUACAAGCUGUGGAACCACUUUAUAUGUGGAACCGCGUACUUUUUGUAGAACGGUCCGGCGAGUUGCGCUGGCUGGCGAGGUUAAGCACCAAAGGUGUGGAGCCGAAGGGAAACCAAGUCUUAAUAGGGCGAAAGAGUCAGUCGGAGCAGACCCGAAACCGGGUGAUCUAUCCAUGUCCAGGUUGAAGUUGCCGUAAAAGGCAAUGGAGGACCGAACCCACAUCCGUUGAAAAGGGUGGGGAUGAGGUGUGGAUAGGGGAGAAAUUCCAAUCGAACCCGGAGAUAGCUGGUUCUCCUCGAAAUAGCUUUAGGGCUAGCCUCAUGAGAGUCUUUUGGAGGUAGAGCACUGAAUUCCCGCGGGGGCGUCAAAGCUUACCAAAGGAUAUCAAACUCCGAAUGCCAGUAAGAUGAUUCAUGGGAGUCAGACUACACGAGAUAAGUUGGGUAGUCAAAAGGGAAAGAGCCCAGACCUGCAGCUAAGGUCCCAAAAUGUGUGUUAAGUGGAAAAGGAUGUGGGAUUUCAAAGACAACCAGGAUGUUGGCUUAGAAGCAGCCAUACAUUAAAAGAGUGCGUAAUAGCUCACUGGUCGAGAGGUCCUGCGCCGAAAAUGUCCGGGGCUGAAACACACUACCGAAGCUCAGGAAUUAACGUAGUUAAUUGGUAGAGGAGCAUUCUUAAAGGGAAGAAGCAGUACCGGAAGGAGCUGUGGACUUUUAAGAAGAGAGAAUGCCGGAAUGAGUAGCGAGAGGAAGGUGAGAAUCCUUCCGGCCGAAUACCCAAGGUUUCCAGAGUAAAGCUGAUCUGCUCUGGGUAAGUCGGGGCCUAAGGUGAGGUCGAAAGACGUAGCCGAUGGACAACAGGUUGAAAUUCCUGUACUGCAGUAUAACAGAACUGUGGGGACGCAGAGGGAGAGCACUAGCGGGAAUGGAAUCCCGUGGCAAGCGAGGUAGGAGUAGAGUUGGCAAAUCCGCUCUAUAAUCCGAAGACGUGAUGCAUACCGAACAAAAGUAGGGAAAUGUGUGAGCCAGCUGCCAAGAAAAGCCGCUAUUGUUUGUACUGUACCCGUACCGUAAACCGACACAGGUAGGUGAGGAGAGAAUCCUAAGGCCGACGGGAGAAGCAUUGUUAAGGAACUCGGCAAAAUGACUCCGUAACUUCGGGAGAAGGAGUGCCAGUGAGAGCUGGCCGCAGAGAAUUGGCCCAAGCAACUGUUUAGCAAAAACACAGGUCUAUGCAAAACCGUAAGGUGAAGUAUAUGGGCUGACGCCUGCCCGGUGCUGGAAGGUUAAGGGGAGAGGUUAGCGCAAGCGAAGCUUUGAACUUAAGCCCCAGUAAACGGCGGCCGUAACUAUAACGGUCCUAAGGUAGCGAAAUUCCUUGUCGGGUAAGUUCCGACCC
rnacentral:rRNA from 1 species